rnacentral:rRNA from 1 species
AACGAACGCUGGCGGCAUGCCUAACACAUGCAAGUCGAACGAGACCUUCGGGUCUAGUGGCGCACGGGUGCGUCACGCGUGGGAACCUGCCCUUAGGCUCCGAAUAACUCUCCGACAGGGGUGCUAAUACCGGAUAAUGUCUUCGGACCAAAGAUUUAUCGCCUUUGGAUGGGCCCGCGUUGGAUUAGCUAGUUGGUAGGGUAAAAGCCUACCAAGGCGUCGAUCCAUAGCUGGUCAGAGAGGAUGAGCAGCCACACUGGGACGGGGACACGGCCCAGAAUACUACGGGAGGCAGCAGUGGGGAAUAUUGGACAAUGGGCGAAAGGCUGAACCAGCAAUGCCGCGUGAGUGAUGAAGGCCUUAGGGUUGUAAAGCUCUUUUACCCGGGAUGAUAAUGACAGUACCGGGAGAAUAAGCUCCGGCUAACUCCGUG